rnacentral:rRNA from 1 species
UACGAAGGGGGCUAGCGUUGCUCGGAAUCACUGGGCGUAAAGGGUGCGUAGGCGGGUCUUUAAGUCAGGGGUGAAAUCCUGGAGCUCAACUCCAGAACUGCCUUUGAUACUGGGGAUCUCGAGUCCGGAAGAGGUGAGUGGAACUCCGAGUGUAGAGGUGAAAUUCGUAGAUAUUCGGAAGAACACCAGUGGCGAAGGCGGCUCACUGGUCCGGUACUGACG